rnacentral:misc_RNA from 1 species
UGGCUCUCGCAUCGAUGAAGAACGCAGCGAAAUGCGAUAAGUAAUGUGAAUUGCAGAAUUCAGUGAAUCAUCGAAUCUUUGAACGCACCUUGCGCUCCUUGGUAUUCCGAGGAGCAUGCCUGUUUGAGUGUCAUUAAAUUCUCAACCUCACCAAUAUAUUGAUGAUGGCUUGGACUUUGGGGGUAUAUUUGCUAGUGAUUCAAUUACCAGCUCCCCUUAAAUUGAUUAGCUGGUACCCUGCGCGGACUGUCUAUUGGUGUGAUAAUUAUCUACGCCGUUGACUGCUGCCUUAGAUAGGUGUACUGCUUACAACCGUCUUCGGACACUAUAUGACAAUUUGACCUCAAAUCAGGUAGGACUACCCGCUGA